rnacentral:tRNA from 2 species
GCACGGAUGGCGGAGCGGUCAAACGCAACAGUCUGUAAAACUGUCGCCUUAACUGGCUACGGGGGUUCGAAUCCCUCUCCGUGCA